rnacentral:rRNA from 1 species
UACGGAGGGGGGCUAGCGUUGUUCGGAAUUACUGGGCGUAAAGCGCACGUAGGCGGCUUUGUAAGUAAGAGGUGAAAGCCCAGAGCUCAACUCUGGAAUUGCCUUUUAGACUGCAUCGCUUGAAUCAUGGAGAGGUCAGUGGAAUUCCGAGUGUAGAGGUGAAAUUCGUAGAUAUUCGGAAGAACACCAGUGGCGAAGGCGGCUGACUGGACAUGUAUUGACGCUGAGGUGCGAAAGCGUGGGGAGCAAACAGG